GGUCAGCGCCUCUUUGUUUCCUAGCUACCUACCCGCCUACGUCACAACUGCGGUGUUCAGGAGGUGGGCCUAGGUUACUGGGGUGGGGGUGCUCUCGGGAGGUAGCUCUCAAGAGAAGGGUGGCUGGGAAGAACGGAGUGGGGCUCAGCUUCUGUCUCUGCUUCCCGGCCCUCCACGUGGUCCCUCCUUUGCCCGCAGCCACAGUUCUUAUCCACUGACCAAUAAGGGCUGCUCGAUCUUGAACUUGAACCUUGAAAACGGCAGAGUGGACAGUGAGAGAGAGAGACAGAGAGAAAGGUCUUCCUUUGCCGUUGGUUCACCCUCCAAUGGCCACCGCGCUGAUCCGAUGGCAGGAGCCAGAAAAUGACACCUUGGGAGCCGAAUGUGACCCCGACGUGACUUGAACACGCAACCUUCUGAUCUGGAGUCAGACGCGCUACCAUUGCGCCACGAGGUCAUCCAUGGGGACAAUGCUGACUUCUGAUGCUUUAAAUCUCUUUCAUUCUGCACCCUGGCCGCUUCCUUCUGGUUUGUUUUUUUUUUUUUUUUUUUUUUUUUUUUU